UUUCCUCGUUGCUCUGCACCUUGCUUGAUGCAAAUGGUCUCCCUGACCCUAGAGCACAUCUGGGGAUCUGCCCUCCACCACCCUGGCACUGCAGUUGUGGAUGUGUGCUUCCACGCCCAGCAAUGUCGAUGCUAGACACCUAAGCUCAGGUUCUUGUAUUUACACAGUAAGCACUUUUCUCAUGGAGUCAUCGCUCCACCCCCAAAAUUAAUUUUAGCUGUUUGUUUAUAUAACCCAGCAUAUUCAGACUACUGCCAUUGGAGUCAGUGUUUUAACAUUCUUCCUGUGGUUCCAGUGAUGGAGCCCGAGGGUUGGGUGUGCCCAGCGAGCUUGCCCACGCUGAGCCUGCCCCUAGCCCCUUGCGGGUAGGUUGGUUUUGGUUUUGGUUAUUCUUUGAGAUAGGGCCUCAGUAGCUGUGUGCCCCAGGCUGGCCUCAUACUCAAGACUCAUCUACCCCUGUCUCCCCAGUGCUGGCAUCACAGGUGUGCCCCCAUGGCGGACACACCACAGCAUUCUAGCCCUGUGUGUUCUUGCUCCUUACCACCUGUCUCAGUUUGUAGUAGCCUCGGCCUGGAUGCUCAGGAGCUGCCGCCUGUCUGCUGUCGCCACCCAGGCUGUGCAGCUCUGAGAUCAGGGUGCUAAUUUCAGGCACUUCCUGCUGGAGUCACUGUCUGAGUGGGGCUUGUAGAUCUGCUUGGGAAUUAAGGGCAGAGGUGAGGGGGGUUUGUGGAGGAGGAUGUCAGGAAUGCUUAUCUUCUUGGUCCCUCUUUAUUCAUUUAGUGCAUCCUGAAACUGACCAGCUGUUAAUAGAGCGCCUGCUGUGUGCCAGGCACUGGCUGCAGCCCCUGUAGGCACUAAGACCCAUACCCAUGAAAAAUGUUACAAUUUUAACAAUAAUGAGUUUCUUGGACAAAAGUGAGUGGAAAGCACCUGUCAAAGGAGGUUUCAGGAGCUAAAACCAAAGUGACAGAACACUCAGAACACAGGAGUGGCUGGGGGCGGAGGCCCAUGACAGAACACAGGAGUGGCUGGAGGCGGAGGCCCAUGUCACACAGCCCAGAGGGUAGGGAUAGAAAGGAGGCAGAGAGCAGAGAAAAAAGCUGCCAGAGAAACCAUGUAUGUGCAGGCUGUGUUCGGGUAAGGUGGUGAUGGUGUGUCUCAGUACAGGGACAUCUCUGAGGUGGGGCGUGUGUGGGGCAAGGCGAGUGGACAGUGGAGUCUAGAGGUGUGGCCCUGGGGCUCCAGUGGGCAGUGAGAAUGGCCAGACACAGGCAGCAUACAGACAGGCUAUGGUACCUGGGUAGCAGACAGUGGUGCCUGGUAUCACAGAGGAGAUCUUCUGUCAUAGCAGAGGUUUAGGGACAGUGUAGACAUAGGGGUUAAGAGAGGGGAAGGAGGGGUGUGGGGAGGGUGCUGUCCCGUGCUGUUGCUGAAGGAGGUGGCAGGAGCCAGCAGAGCUCUUCAGUGAUUGGAUGGUCCCAGCUCGACUGUGAGGUGCUCAGGGGCAGAACAUGAGAGGGGGGGCCACAUGGUGGCUUAUAACCAUCCAUAAUGAGAUCUGACACACCCCCUUUGGAUGCAUCUGAAGUCAGCUACAGUGUACUUAAGUAUAAUAAUUAAUAAAUC
rnacentral:lncRNA from 1 species